rnacentral:rRNA from 1 species
AACGUAGGACACAAACGUUGUCCGGAUUUAUUGGGCGUAAAGAGCGUGUAGGCGGCUUUGCAAGUCCGUUGUGAAAACUCGAGGCUCAACCUCGAGACGCCGGUGGAAACUGCAAAGCUAGAGUCCGGAAGAGGAGAGUGGAAUUCCUGGUGUAGCGGUGAAAUGCGCAGAUAUCAGGAAGAACACCCGUGGCGAAGGCGGCUCUCUGGGACGGUACUGACGCUGAGACGCGAAAGCGUGGGGAGCGAACAGG